AAUUUUUUAGUGUAAGAAGCAUAUAUGUCUUUGACGCGUAUGGAGAAAGUUUGAUUCUUUUAAAAGUUU
rnacentral:tRNA from 1 species